GCUAGCAUGAUGUAGUGGUUUGAGCACUGGACUAGGACUCUGGAGACCAGGGUUCGAAUCCUAGUUUGACCA